GAUGAACGCUGGCGGCGUGCCUAAUACAUGCAAGUCGAGCGAACAGACGAGGAGCUUGCUCCUCUGACGUUAGCGGCGGACGGGUGAGUAACACGUGGAUAACCUACCUAUAAGACUGGGAUAACUUCGGGAAACCGGAGCUAAUACCGGAUAACAUGUUGAACCGCAUGGUUCAACAGUGAAAGACGGUCUUGCUGUCACUUAUAGAUGGAUCCGCGCCGCAUUAGCUAGUUGGUAAGGUAACGGCUUACCAAGGCAACGAUGCGUAGCCGACCUGAGAGGGUGAGCGGCCACACUGGAACUGAGACACGGUCCGGACUCCUCUGGGAGGCGGCAGUAGGGAAUCUUCCGCAAUGGGCGAAGGCCUGACGGCGCACCGCCGCGUCAGUGAAGAAGGUCUUCGGAUCGUAAAACUCUGUUAUUAGGGAAGAACAAAUGUGUAAGUAACUAUGCACGUCUUGACGGUACCUAAUCAGAAAGCCACGCCUAACUACGUG
rnacentral:rRNA from 1 species